UACGAAGGGGGCUAGCGUUGCUCGGAAUCACUGGGCGUAAAGCGCACGUCGGCGGCUUUUUAAGUCAGAGGUGAAAUCCUGGAGCUCAACUCCAGAACUGCCUUUGAUACUGGAGAGCUUGAGUCCGGGAGAGGUGAGUGGAACUGCGAGUGUAGAGGUGAAAUUCGUAGAUAUUCGCAAGAACACCAGUGGCGAAGGCGGCUCACUGGCCCGGUACUGACGCUGAGGUGCGAAAGCGUGGGGAGCAAACAGG
rnacentral:rRNA from 1 species